rnacentral:rRNA from 1 species
AAAAAAGGUAAGCUACUAAGAGCGAAUGGUGGAUGCCUUGACUGGUAAAGGCGAUGAAGGACGUACUAGACUGCGAUAAGCUACGGGGAGCUGUCAAGAAGCUUUGAUCCGUAGAUUUCCGAAUGGGGCAACCCAAUGUAUAGAGAUAUACAUUACCUAUAUAGGAGCGAACGAGGGGAAUUGAAACAUCUUAGUACCCUCAGGAAAAGAAAUCAAUAGAGAUUGCGUCAGUAGCGGCGAGCGAAAGCGCAAGAGGGCAAACCCAGUGCUUGCACUGGGGGUUGUAGGACUGCAAUGUGCAAGAGCUGAGUUUAGCAGAACAUUCUGGAAAGUAUAGCCAUAGAGGGUGAUAGUCCCGUAUGCGAAAAACAAAGCUUAGCUAGCAGUAUCCUGAGUAGGGCGGGACACGAGGAAUCCUGUCUGAAUCCGGGUCGACCACGAUCCAACCCUAAAUACUAAUACCAGAUCGAUAGUGCACAAGUACCGUGAGGGAAAGGUGAAAAGAACUGAGGUGAUCAGAGUGAAAUAGAACCUGAAACCAUUUGCUUACAAUCAUUCAGAGCACUAUGUAGCAAUACAGUGUGAUGGACUGCCUUUUGCAUAAUGAGCCUGCGAGUUGUGGUGUCUGGCAAGGUUAAGCAAACGCGAAGCCGUAGCGAAAGCGAGUCUGAAUAGGGCGCUUAGUCAGAUGCUGCAGACCCGAAACGAAGUGAUCUAUCCAUGAGCAAGUUGAAGCUAGUGUAAGAACUAGUGGAGGACUGAACCCAUAGGCGUUGAAAAGCCCCGGGAUGACUUGUGGAUAGGGGUGAAAGGCCAAUCAAACUUCGUGAUAGCUGGUUCUCUCCGAAAUAUAUUUAGGUAUAGCGUUGUGUCGUAAUAUAAGGGGGUAGAGCACUGAAUGGGCUAGGGCAUACACCAAUGUACCAAACCCUAUCAAACUCCGAAUACCUUAUAUGUAAUCACAGCAGUCAGGCGGCGAGUGAUAAAAUCCGUCGUCAAGAGGGAAACAACCCAGACUACCAGCUAAGGUCCCUAAAUCUUACUUAAGUGGAAAACGAUGUGAAGUUACUUAAACAACCAGGAGGUUGGCUUAGAAGCAGCCAUCCUUUAAAGAAAGCGUAAUAGCUCACUGGUCUAGUGAUUUUGCGCGGAAAAUAUAA